GUGAGUAGCGAAAGACGGGUGAGAAUCCCGUCCACCGAUUGACUAAGGUUUCCAGAGGAAGGCUCGUCCGCUCUGGGUUAGUCGGGUCCUAAGCUGAGGCCGACAGGCGUAGGCGAUGGAUAACAGGUUGAUAUUCCUGUACCACCUAUAAUCGUUUUAAUCGAUGGGGGGACGCAGUAGGAUAGGCGAAGCGUGCGAUUGGAUUGCACGUCUAAGCAGUAAGGCUGAGUAUUAGGCAAAUCCGGUACUCGUUAAGGCUGAGCUGUGAUGGGGAGAAGACAUUGUGUCUUCGAGUCGUUGAUUUCACACUGCCGAGAAAAGCCUCUAGAUAGAAAAUAGGUGCCCGUACCGCAAACCGACACAGGUAGUCAAGAUGAGAAUUCUAAGGUGAGCGAGCGAACUCUCGUUAAGGAACUCGGCAAAAUGACCCCGUAACUUCGGGAGAAGGGGUGCUCUUUAGGGUUAACGCCCAGAAGAGCCGCAGUGAAUAGGCCCAAGCGACUGUUUAUCAAAAACACAGGUCUCUGCUAAACCGUAAGGUGAUGUAUAGGGGCUGACGCCUGCCCGGUGCUGGAAGGUUAAGAGGAGUGGUUAGCUUCUGCGAAGCUACGAAUCGAAGCCCCAGUAAACGGCGGCCGUAACUAUAACGGUCCUAAGGUAGCGAAAUUCCUUGUCGGGUAAGUUCCGACCCGCACGAAAGGCGUAACGAUUUGGGCACUGUCUCAACGAGAGACUCGGUGAAAUCAUAGUACCUGUGAAGAUGCAGGUUACCCGCGACAGGACGGAAAGACCCCGUGGAGCUUUACUGUAGCCUGAUAUUGAAAUUCGGCACAGCUUGUACAGGAUAGGUAGGAGCCUUUGAAACGU
rnacentral:rRNA from 1 species